GUACUGCUGAGGAGUCCCACAAUAGGACGAAACGGCCGUCCAGUGC
rfam:Schistosoma curassoni strain Dakar, Senegal genome assembly, scaffold: SCTD_scaffold0005169